rnacentral:rRNA from 1 species
CCAAUAGCGUAUAUUAAAGUUGUUGCAGUUAAAAAGCUCGUAGUUGAACUUCGGGGUUCACCCAUUGGUCAGGCUUAACUGUCUGUACUGAUGAGAUGAAUCUCUACCUUCUGAGGAACUUUCAUGCCAUUUAUUUGGUGUGAUUGGAAAUCAGGACUAUUACUUUGAAAAAAUUAGAGUGUUUAAAGCAGGCUAACGUCUGAAUACAUUAGCAUGGAAUAAUGAAAUAGGACGGAUUGGUUCUAUUUUGUUGGUUUCUAGGAUCACCGUAAUGAUUAAUAGGGAUAGUUGGGGGCAUUAGUAUUCAAUUGUCAGAGGUGAAAUUCUUGGAUUUAUUGAAGACUAACUACUGCGAAAGCAUUUGCCAAGGAUGUUUUCAUUAAUCAAGAACGAAAGUUAGGGGAUCGAAGACGAUCAGAUACCGUCGUAGUCUUAACCAUAAACUAUGCCGACUAGGGAUCGGACGAAGUUAAUUUUAUAAUGACGCGUUCGGCACCUUACG